AGUGCAUCCAUAGGUAGGUUCAUAACCAAAUAUUUUUCCAAAUAAUUUCUAGCAAUUAGGUUUUGCCCCAGGCAUCCCUUCAGCAGGCAUGUGGCGCCUCCACUGAAAAUUCUUGUUAGGUCCAACCAUUAACAUGACAACACCAAGUGCAUCCAACAAAUAGAUAUUUAGUUCCAAGUGUGGCUCGACUAACCUAAGCAUUGAUCU
rnacentral:lncRNA from 1 species